CGAGACGGGUUUUCAAUACAA
rnacentral:piRNA from 1 species